rnacentral:rRNA from 1 species
ACGUAGGGUCCGAGCGUUAAUCGGAAUUACUGGGCGUAAAGCGUGCGCAGGCGGUUCGCAAAGACAGGUGUGAAAUCCCCGAGCUUAACUUGGGAACUGCCAUUGAUACUAUCAGUCUUGAAUACCGUGGAGGUUAGCGGAAUAUGUCAUGUAGCGGUGAAAUGCUUAGAUAUGACAUAGAACACCCAUUGCGAAGGCAGCUAACUACGCGAUCAUUGACGCUGAUGCACGAAAGCGUGGGGAUCAAACAGGA